GCCCCGAGAUGAGUUCUCCCUGACUCCUUGAGAGUCCUGAAGGAACGUUGAAGACGACGACGUUGAUAGGCCGGGUGUGUAAGCGCAGCGAUGCGUUGAGCUAACCGGUACUAAUGAACCGUGAGGCUUAACCUUACAACGCCGAAG
rnacentral:rRNA from 1 species